rnacentral:rRNA from 1 species
UACGUAGGGUCCGAGCGUUGUCCGGAAUUACUGGGCGUAAAGAGCUCGUAGGUGGUUUGUCGCGUUGUUCGUGAAAACUCACAGCUUAACUGUGGGCGUGCGGGCGAUACGGGCAGACUGGAGUACUGCAGGGGAGACUGGAAUUCCUGGUGUAGCGGUGGAAUGCGCAGAUAUCAGGAGGAACACCGGUGGCGAAGGCGGGUCUCUGGGCCGAUACUGACGCU